rnacentral:lncRNA from 1 species
GCCAUCAAAAAUCACAAAAAAAUUAAUUAAUCUUAUUAUAUUAUCACUAUACACUUACAUCUACUUAUUUCAUAACAAUUGAAUGUUCUACUUUAUAUUGCUAAUAUGUCAAUGUUCAGAUUAAAAUGUUUUAGUUGUUGAACAAAAGGUAUAUUAGCAUGCUAAGUGUUUUUCAACGAAACCACAUGUUCAAUAUUUACACAGAGACUAUAUAUAGGUUAUAUCUAAAACUUUUACAUGAUUAAAUUCAUAAGUAAUUUAUACAUACAAUAUAAGUUAAUAUUUACAUAGAAAUUAUACAAGUUAUAUAUAAAGUGGAAACACAAUACGCUUCACAGUAAAGUUAACCCACUGAUCUGAAAACACUGGAUGGAGUUUCCUUUUGUAUUCAAUAAACCAAUUUUGAAGUCAGAAUAUUUAUAAUCAGAUGAGAUCUUAAACUCUGUCAAAAUCUCUGCAAAUCGGAACACGACGUGUUUAAAUUAGCUACAUUAUGAAGCAAAUAUCUUUUCCUAUGUAACUUAAGAAAUAUAGCUUGCCAUAUUUCUUCUAAUGAGUUUUAGAACGUUUUAAACACUAGAUAAUGAGACUUGUGGCAGCCAUCUUGGUGUGACAUCAGUUAUUCACGAGCAAAUUUAAGGAGGAAGAGAGGCCAGUGUUGAUAAAUUUAUAUUCAGAUAAUGUUUAUCCUUUCUCAGCGAUAACUAGAAACUGUAAGAACCUCUUACACUAUUUCAUCAACACCACAGUAGAUUUGUGCUGCUCAUAUCAAUAUGGCCAACAUUGCCUUCAUUUCUGCAUAGAGGAUGCACUAUCCAGCGCUAGGUUUGAGGUCAGCGAGUUAACCCAAGUGCAGGUCAUUGAUGAUGGUUAUAAUUUCAUGUCGUGUAGAUACUAAAUAUGGAAAUGAAAAGGAAAUAAAUAACAUUGACUGAAGCCUGAGCAUUAAACAACCCUGAACCGUAACCAUCAUUCAAGGGUUAGAACUCAGGGCCGGUGUUUUAUGAUCAGGUCAAUGUUAUUUAUUUUCUUUUGUGUGCAUAUUUAGUAUCUACAGGACAUGAAAUUAUAAAUCUGAUGAUCA